CGCUCUUUGAAUUUUAUUUAAUAAUAAAGAGUCUCGCCUGCCCAGUGAAAGGAUUAGAAGACUAUUUUAAUGGCCGCAGUAUCUUGACUGUGCUAAGGUAGCAUAAUUCAAUGUCUUUUAAUUAAAGGCUCAGUAUGAAUGGCUAAACGUGGAUAAUUCUGUCUCUUUAAUAUUAUAUAAAAAUUAUCUUUGAAGUUAAAAGACUUCAAUAUCUUUAAAAGACGAAAAGACCCUAUAGAGUUUAUAAAUUAAAUUUAAUUUUAUUUUGUAGAAUAUAAUAUAAUUAAAUAUUAUUUUUUGUUGGGGCAAUAAAGGAGUCUAUAAAUACUCUUUUUAUUAAUUAUAAAUCGAUGGAUUUUUUGAUCUAAUAUAUAAAUUAAAAGAAAAAGUUACCUUAGGGAUAACAGCGUAAUUUUUCUGGAGAGCACUAAUUGAAGGAAAAGAUUGCGACCUCGAUGUUGGAUUGGAGAUACAUAUAAGUGCAGUAGCUUAUAAAGUAGGUCUGUUCGACCUAUAAUAUUCCACA
rnacentral:rRNA from 1 species